rnacentral:rRNA from 1 species
GGGUUGUGAGGUUAAGCGACUAAGCGUACACGGUGGAUGCCCUGGCAGUCAGAGGCGAUGAAGGACGUGCUAAUCUGCGAUAAGCGUCGGUAAGGUGAUAUGAACCGUUAUAACCGGCGAUUUCCGAAUGGGGAAACCCAGUGUGAUUCGUCACACUAUCAUUAACUGAAUCCAUAGGUUAAUGAGGCGAACCGGGGGAACUGAAACAUCUAAGUACCCCGAGGAAAAGAAAUCAACCGAGAUUCCCCCAGUAGCGGCGAGCGAACGGGGAGCAGCCCAGAGCCUGAAUCAGUGUGUGUGUUAGUGGAAGCGUCUGGAAAGGCGCGCGAUACAGGGUGACAGCCCCGUACACAAAAAUGCACAUACUGUGAGCUCGAUGAGUAGGGCGGGACACGUGGUAUCCUGUCUGAAUAUGGGGGGACCAUCCUCCAAGGCUAAAUACUCCUGACUGACCGAUAGUGAACCAGUACCGUGAGGGAAAGGCGAAAAGAACCCCGGCGAGGGGAGUGAAAAAGAACCUGAAACCGUGUACGUACAAGCAGUGGGAGCACAGAGCAAUCUGUGUGACUGCGUACCUUUUGUAUAAUGGGUCAGCGACUUAUAUUCUGUAGCAAGGUUAACCGAAUAGGGGAGCCGAAGGGAAACCGAGUCUUAACUGGGCGUUAAGUUGCAGGGUAUAGACCCGAAACCCGGUGAUCUAGCCAUGGGCAGGUUGAAGGUUGGGUAACACUAACUGGAGGACCGAACCGACUAAUGUUGAAAAAUUAGCGGAUGACUUGUGGCUGGGGGUGAAAGGCCAAUCAAACCGGGAGAUAGCUGGUUCUCCCCGAAAGCUAUUUAGGUAGCGCCUCGUGAAUUCAUCUCCGGGGGUAGAGCACUGUUUCGGCAAGGGGGUCAUCCCGACUUACCAACCCGAUGCAAACUGCGAAUACCGGAGAAUGUUAUCACGGGAGACACACGGCGGGUGCUAACGUCCGUCGUGAAGAGGGAAACAACCCAGACCGCCAGCUAAGGUCCCAAAGUCAUGGUUAAGUGGGAAACGAUGUGGGAAGGCCCAGACAGCCAGGAUGUUGGCUUAGAAGCAGCCAUCAUUUAAAGAAAGCGUAAUAGCUCACUGGUCGAGUCGGCCUGCGCGGAAGAUGUAACGGGGCUAAACCAUGCACCGAAGCUGCGGCAGCGACGCUUAUGCGUUGUUGGGUAGGGGAGCGUUCUGUAAGCCUGCGAAGGUGUGCUGUGAGGCAUGCUGGAGGUAUCAGAAGUGCGAAUGCUGACAUAAGUAACGAUAAAGCGGGUGAAAAGCCCGCUCGCCGGAAGACCAAGGGUUCCUGUCCAACGUUAAUCGGGGCAGGGUGAGUCGACCCCUAAGGCGAGGCCGAAAGGCGUAGUCGAUGGGAAACAGGUUAAUAUUCCUGUACUUGGUGUUACUGCGAAGGGGGGACGGAGAAGGCUAUGUUGGCCGGGCGACGGUUGUCCCGGUUUAAGCGUGUAGGCUGGUUUUCCAGGCAAAUCCGGAAAACUAAGGCUGAGGCGUGAUGACGAGGCACUACGGUGCUGAAGCAACAAAUGCCCUGCUUCCAGGAAAAGCCUCUAAGCAUCAGGUAACAUCAAAUCGUACCCCAAACCGACACAGGUGGUCAGGUAGAGAAUACCAAGGCGCUUGAGAGAACUCGGGUGAAGGAACUAGGCAAAAUGGUGCCGUAACUUCGGGAGAAGGCACGCUGAUAUGUAGGUGAAGUCCCUCGCGGAUGGAGCUGAAAUCAGUCGAAGAUACCAGCUGGCUGCAACUGUUUAUUAAAAACACAGCACUGUGCAAACACGAAAGUGGACGUAUACGGUGUGACGCCUGCCCGGUGCCGGAAGGUUAAUUGAUGGGGUUAGCGCAAGCGAAGCUCUUGAUCGAAGCCCCGGUAAACGGCGGCCGUAACUAUAACGGUCCUAAGGUAGCGAAAUUCCUUGUCGGGUAAGUUCCGACCUGCACGAAUGGCGUAAUGAUGGCCAGGCUGUCUCCACCCGAGACUCAGUGAAAUUGAACUCGCUGUGAAGAUGCAGUGUACCCGCGGCAAGACGGAAAGACCCCGUGAACCUUUACUAUAGCUUGACACUGAACAUUGAGCCUUGAUGUGUAGGAUAGGUGGGAGGCUUUGAAGUGUGGACGCCAGUCUGCAUGGAGCCGACCUUGAAAUACCACCCUUUAAUGUUUGAUGUUCUAACGUUGACCCGUGAUCCGGGUUGCGGACAGUGUCUGGUGGGUAGUUUGACUGGGGCGGUCUCCUCCUAAAGAGUAACGGAGGAGCACGAAGGUUGGCUAAUCCUGGUCGGACAUCAGGAGGUUAGUGCAAUGGCAUAAGCCAGCUUGACUGCGAGCGUGACGGCGCGAGCAGGUGCGAAAGCAGGUCAUAGUGAUCCGGUGGUUCUGAAUGGAAGGGCCAUCGCUCAACGGAUAAAAGGUACUCCGGGGAUAACAGGCUGAUACCGCCCAAGAGUUCAUAUCGACGGCGGUGUUUGGCACCUCGAUGUCGGCUCAUCACAUCCUGGGGCUGAAGUAGGUCCCAAGGGUAUGGCUGUUCGCCAUUUAAAGUGGUACGCGAGCUGGGUUUAGAACGUCGUGAGACAGUUCGGUCCCUAUCUGCCGUGGGCGCUGGAGAACUGAGGGGGGCUGCUCCUAGUACGAGAGGACCGGAGUGGACGCAUCACUGGUGUUCGGGUUGUCAUGCCAAUGGCACUGCCCGGUAGCUAAAUGCGGAAGAGAUAAGUGCUGAAAGCAUCUAAGCACGAAACUUGCCCCGAGAUGAGUUCUCCCUGACUCCUUGAGAGUCCUGAAGGAACGUUGAAGACGACGACGUUGAUAGGCCGGGUGUGUAAGCGCAGCGAUGCGUUGAGCUAACCGGUACUAAUGAACCGUGAGGCUUAACCUUACAACGCCGAAGGUGUUU